rnacentral:lncRNA from 1 species
AUGUUUGCACAAAAUAAGUUGACUUGGGUUAGGGUGGAGAGAAAAAGAGAAAGGCUAGGUCCUAAACAUGAAAAGAUGAGAGAAGAGAAAUAAAACCCUUGGAGUUCCUUUCUUGAGAUCAUAAAGAUGAUCCAAGUUGCUCUUUUCCUUUGGACUUAGCAAGCAAUAAGCAAUUAACUCAAGCAAUCAAGCAAAUAUUCAAUCAAGCUCCUAGGAUCUUCC